GUACAUACCUGGACGGGGUCGAUGGCCGAUCAGGAAGGGCCAUGGCCUAGAUUUGUGACUUCCAUUGCACUUCGGAAGGGUACUCGUCUAAGGUCUGCCCUUGCGGCAGAGCCUACGUCAUAAUUUGUGGUUUUGGGGGCUUGCGUCAACGCGCAGCCCCCUC